CAUUGAAACACCGGAUCCAUUGCAACCCCCGAAAUUAAGCAACGUCGAACUCGGUCAGUACCUAGAUUGGUGACCGCUUGGGAAUACCAGGUGCUGUAA